rnacentral:rRNA from 1 species
AUCACUCGUUGUUGGCAAUAUAUCGUCAGCGACUGAGCGAAAGCAUUAAGUGAUCCACCUGGGGAGUACGAUCGCAAGAUUGAAACUCAAAGGAAUUGACGGGGGCCCGCACAAGCGGAGGAACAUGUGGUUUAAUUCGACGAUACGCGAGGAACCUUACCUGGGCUUAAAUGCAGAACGACGUACCGGGAAACUGGUACUCCCUUCGGGGCGAACUGCAAGGUGCUGCAUGGCUGUCGUCAGCUCGUGCCGUGAGGUGUCGGGUUAAGUCCCAUAACGAGCGCAACCCCUAUCGUUAGUUGCCAGCGGAUAAUGCCGGGGACUCUAACGAAACUGCCAGUGUAAACUGUGAGGAAGGUGGGGAUGACGUCAAGUCAGCACGGCCCUUAUGUCCAGGGCUACACACGUGUUACAAUGGCCGGUACAGAGGGCAGCUACCUGGUGACAGGAUGCAAAUCUCGAAACCCGGUCUCAGUUCGGAUCGAAGUCUGCAACUCGACUUCGUGAAGGUGGAUUCGCUAGUAAUCGCGCAUCAACCACGGCGCGGUGAAUACGUUCCCGGGCCUUGUACACACCGCCCGUCAAGCCAUGGAAGCUGGGGGUACCUGAAGUCUGUAACCGCAAG